GCAACCGAUUGACAAUCUGACACCAGAGGAGAGGGACGCACGCACAGUCUUCUGCAUGCAGCUGGCUGCUAGAAUCCGAGCUCGAGACCUGGAGGAUUUCUUUUCAGCUGUUGGAAAAGUAAGAGAUGUGAGAAUGAUCUCUGACAGAAAUUCCAGGAGGUCGAAGGGCAUUGCAUACAUUGAGUUGUGGAGGCUGCUUCUGUACCGCUGGCGAUCGGGCUGACUGGCCAGAGGCUUCUGGGGGUGCCCAUCAUUGUCCAGGCUUCUCAGGCAGAGAAAAACAGAGCUGCUGCAGCUGCCAAUAAUCUGCAGAAGGGCAGUUCAGGCCCAAUGCGACUCUACGUGGGCUCGCUGCACUUCAACAUUACA